rnacentral:rRNA from 1 species
UCAUGGCUCAGAUUGAACGCUGGCGGCAUGCCUUACACAUGCAAGUCGAACGGCAGCACGGGGCAACCUGGUGGCGAGUGGCGAACGGGUGAGUAAUGCAUCGGAACGUGCCAUUGAGUGGGGGGUAACGGUAGCGAAAGUUACGCUAAUACCGCAUAUUCUGUGAGCAGGAAAGCAGGGGGAUCGCAAGACCUUGCGCUCUUUGAGCGGCCGAUGUCAGAUUAGCUAGUUGGUGAGGUAACGGCUUACCAAGGCGACGAUCUGUAGCGGGUCUGAGAGGAUGAUCCGCCACACUGGAACUGAGACACGGUCCAGACUCCUACGGGAGGCAGCAGUGGGGAAUUUUGGACAAUGGGGGCAACCCUGAUCCAGCCAUGCCGCGUGAGUGAAGAAGGCCUUCGGGUUGUAAAGCUCUUUCGGCCGGGAAGAAAUCGCAUGGGUUAAUACCCUGUGUGGAUGACGGUACCGGCAUAAGAAGCACCGGCUAACUACGUG